UGCCAGCAGCCGCGGUAAUACGGAGGGUGCAAGCGUUGUUCGGAAUUACUGGGCGUAAAGCGCGCGUAGGCGGACUAUUAAGUCAGGGGUGAAAUCCCGGGGCUCAACCCCGGAACUGCCCUCAAAACUGUCGAUCUAGAGACCGGGAGAGGUAAGCGGAAUUCCUAGUGUAGAGGUGAAAUUCGUAGAUAUUAGGAAGAACACCAGUGGCGAAAGCGACUUUCUGGCCCGUUCCUGACACUAAGACGCGAAAGCUAGGGUAGCAAACGGGAUUAGAUA
rnacentral:rRNA from 1 species